rnacentral:rRNA from 1 species
CCUACGGGUGGCAGCAGUGGGGAAUAUUGGGCAAUGGACGCAAGUCUGACCCAGCAACGCCGCGUGAAGGAAGAAGUAAUUCGUUAUGUAAAGCUCUAUCAGCAGGGAAGAAAAUGACGGUACCUGAGUAAGAAGCUCCGGCUAACUACGUGCCAGCAGCCGCGGUAAUACGUAGGGGGCAAGCGUUAUCCGGAUUUACUGGGUGUAAAGGGAGCGUAGACGGCAGUGCAAGUCUGGAGUGAAAGGCGGGGGCUCAACCCCCGGACUGCUCUGGAAACUGUACGGCUGGAGUGCAGGAGAGGUAAGUGGAAGUCCUAGUGUAGCGGUGAAAUGCGUAGAUAUUAGGAGGAACACCAGUGGCGAAGGCGGCUUACUGGACUGUAACUGACGUUGAGGCUCGAAAGCGUGGGGAGCAAACAGGAGUAGAUACCCCGGUAGUC